rnacentral:rRNA from 1 species
UAAGUCACUUUGUCUUUAUGGCAAAUGUGAGAUGCAGUGUAUGGAACGUCUAUAAUCUAGUAUGAGAAAUUAACGAUUUAAGUCCUUCUUAAAUGAGGCCAUUUACCCAUAGAGGGUGCCAGGCCCGUAUAACGUUAAUGAUUAUUAGAAGGCGUUUCCAAAGAGUCGUGUUGCUUGAUAGUGCAGCACUAAGUGGGUGGUAAACUCCAUCUAAAACUAAAUAUAACCAUGAGACCGAUAGUAAACAAGUACCGUGAGGGAAAGUUGAAAAGAACUCUGAAUAGAGAGUUAAAUAGUACGUGAAACUGCUUAGAGGUUAAGCCCGAUGAACCUGAAUAUCCAAUAUGGAAAAUUCAUCAUUAUGCCCGUUAUAUAAAUUUAAAAAAAUAUAAUGGAAAUAGUGUGCAUUUUUUCUAUAUAAGGACAUUGUAAUCUAUUAACAUAUUGAAUAUUUAUCAUAAGAUCAUUGGCACAAGUUUAUUCAAAUUAAUUUGCUUGCAUUUUAACAUAGAAUAAAUGCUUUUGAUUUGAUAAAGUGUUGAUAGAUUUAUAAAUAUAUAGUGCUUAAAUUCAUUUAUGAAUUUUAUAAUGAUGUAAUUAUCUAAUGAUUUUUAUAUUUAUUAUAUGCGCUUAUAUGAUUAACAAUGCGAUAGAUUCAGGAUACCUUCGGGACCCGUCUUGAAACACGGACCAAGGAGUCUAACAUAUGUGCAAGUCAUUGGGAUUUAAUAAUUAAACCCAAAAGCGUAAUUAACUUAACUGUACAUAAUGGGAUUAGUUUUUAGUCUAUUUUAUAGUCUAUUAAUUCAAUCCCGGGGCGUUCUAUAUGGUUAUGUAUAAUAAUAUUUAUAUUAUUUAUACCUCUAACUGGAGCGUACCUUGAGCAUAUAUGCUGUGACCCGAAAGAUGGUGAACUAUACUUGAUCAGGUUGAAGUCAGGGGAAACCCUGAUGGAAGACCGAAACAGUUCUGACGUGCAAAUCGANNNNNNNGAUAGAAUAAUGUAGGUAAGGGAAGUCGGCAAAUUAGAUCCGUAACUUCGGGAUAAGGAUUGGCUCUGAAGAUUGAGAUAGUCGGGCUUGAUUGGGAAGCAAUAACAUGGUUUAUGUACUCGUUCUGGAUAAAUAGAGAUUUUCGGAUCUUGUUCCCCGGAUAGUAGCUACGUAACCAAUUGUGGAACUUUCUUGCUAAAAUUUUUAAGGAAUUAUCGCAAGAUAUAUUCUUUUUAAAUUAUAACGAUUAUCAAUUAACAAUCAAUUCAGAACUGGCACGGACUUGGGGAAUCCGACUGUCUAAUUAAAACAAAGCAUUGUGAUGGCCCUAGCGGGUGUUGACACAAUGUGAUUUCUGCCCAGUGCUCUGAAUGUCAAAGUGAAGAAAUUCAAGUAAGCGCGGGUAAACGGCGGGAGUAACUAUGACUCUCUUAAGGUAGCCAAAUGCCUCGUCAUCUAAUUAGUGACGCGCAUGAAUGGAUUAACGAGAUUCCUACUGUCCCUAUCUACUAUCUAGCGAACCACAGCCAAGGGAACGGGCUUGGAAUAAUUAGCGGGGAAAGAAGACCCUGUUGAGUUUGACUCUAGUCUGGCAGUGUAAGGAGACAUAAGAGGUGUAGCAUAAGUGGGAGAUAGAUAAUUUCGGUUGUUUAUCGACAAUGAAAUACCACUACUCUUAUUGUUUCCUUACUUACUUGAUUAAGUGGAACGUGUAUCAUUGCCUAGCCAUUAUACGGAUAUAUUUAUAUGUCUUAUGGUAUUGGGUCUUGAUGCAAGGUUCUUGAUCAAAGUAUCACGAGUUUGUUAUAUAAUUGUAAACAAGUGUUAAUGAAAUGAUAGUAUUUCGGUAUUAUUGUUAUAAUUGAUAUUUGGUAUAACUCCUACACUCAGAUAUGAUCCAAUUCAAGGACAUUUCCAGGUGGGGAGUUUGACUGGGGCGGUACAUCUCUCAAAUAAUAACGGAGGUGUCCCAAGGCCAGCUCAGUGCGGACAGAAACCACACAUAGAGCAAAA